CAGAGGGUGCAAGCGUUUAAUCGGAAUUUACGUGGGCGUAAAGCGCACGUAGGCGGUUUUUAAGUCAGAUGUGAAAGCCCGGGCUCAACCUGGGAUUGCAUUUGAAACUUGGGAACUAGAGUGUGUGAGAGGGGGUAGAAUUCCAAGUGUAGCGGUGAAAUGCGUAGAGAUUUGGAGGAAUACCAGUGGCGAAGGCGGCCCCUGGCACAACACUGACGCUCAGGUGCGAAAAGCGUGGGGAGCAAACAGGAUU
rnacentral:rRNA from 1 species